rnacentral:lncRNA from 1 species
UGGAAAGUUACUUUUUUACCCUUGGAGAAGCUUUGGACUGACUUUGUAAAAAAGAAUGUUAACUUCCCCAUAUAUAUAUAUAUUUCCCCCCCCUUCCCAUUCCUCUUUACUAUUUUAGGGAUGUCAUAAUGUGGCUCUAGCGAAGAAUACAUGCAAAAAGGAUCUGUACUAAAACCAGAGCUUUAUAACCUAAACUAUAACAGCAACAAUCCUCAGCUCUACAACAGCAGUCUCACAGGAUUGGCAGCUUUGCUCCCAAGUCUGUCUCUGCAACAGAACCACUGUAGGAGGAAUGGUAGCUGUCUGCCUGGGUUAACCUAGACGUACUGUAAAGCAUAGAUUCAAAGUUCUGCGUUUCUGAGUUGUCUCAACCUGCAGCGUACAUUCUGUCUUCAGCUAGUCCAAAAGGGCUGCCUGGUGCACUGCAGCACUCACUCAGGAGCCCAAGGGUCAUAGUUGGUUUGUAAAAUGGAGAUAAGGUCACUCUUUCUGGUUCUGCCUACUGACAAGAGAAGAAGAGCCAAGUGUUGAGGUGCUAUCAUAAGAAAGGUCAUACAAGUUUUUGCAAUGGUUAAGGAGGAAACAAGCCCAGCCACAACCUGAUAACCUACAUGAAAUUCCAGUCUGUGUAUAAUGGGCGGUGGAAUCCACAUAUCUCACAGUCAGACAUCUGCUAUUAAAGGUCUUUCACCACUGUCCUCAAUGCACACUGCUCUUUGUGGGAAACACUGGAUGAGCAAUGCUGGCAGCUUUUGCACAAUACCAGUUGCAGCAUAGAAAGGUGAGAAAUUGUGAGAAGCAAAUUAGGACAGUACCUGCAAUAGCUUGCAAGUGAGUGCAGGAAAUGUAUCCCACAAUUCUUUGGUCCUGAGGUGUACUUCCCACUUGCACCUGUAAGGAAAGGAAGAAAUAAAAAGGUCCUUAAUGGAGGAGCUCAUACAUCUGCACUACCAACGCCAGUGGUGCAGUGCUCACACACGGCACCGGCCUUUUUCUCCAUUUUUUCCACCUAGCUCCCUUUCGGAACACAGAAACCCCCCAGGAAACACCUGAUCGUCACACUUGGCAUUGCUGAGGUCCCAUUUUGCAUCUAACACACACACUCCUUCCUCAUCACCACUGGUUCAAAAACAAAAAACAAACAAAAAAAAACCGUGAGCCACCAUCACACACAGACAGCUUUGUCACAGUUUUGUUUUUCAGUUGUCGGACAACUGAAAAAACAAGAAAACUAAGAACCAUCUGAUCAGUUCUAUAACUGGAAAGCUGGCUUUGAAGCAAGUG